GGCUCGGUGGUCUAGGGUAUGAUUCUCGCUUUGGGUGCGAGAGGUCCCGGGUUCAAAUCCCGGCCGGGCCC
rnacentral:tRNA from 2 species